AUUGAACGCUGGCGGCAUGCCUAACACAUGCAAGUCGAACGGCAGCACGAAUCAGGCGACUAAUUUGGUCGCCAGUGGCGCACGGGUGAGUAAUACGUAGGAAUAUACCUUAAAGAGGGGGAUACCUUGGGGAAACCCAGGCUAAUACCGCAUGAGCUCUAAGGAGGAAAGCCGGUGACCGCGAGGCCUGGCGCUUUAAGCAUAGACUACGUCCGAUUAGCUAGUUGGUAGGGUAAAGGCCUACGAAGGCGACGAUCGGUAGCCGGACUGAGAGGAUGAUCAGCCACACUGGGACUGAGACACGGCCCAGACUCCUACGGGAGGCAGCAGUGGGGAAUAUUGGACAAUGGGGGCAACCCUGAUCCAGCGAUGCCGCGUGUGUGAAGAAGGCCUGCGGGUUGUAAAGCACUUUCAGUGGGGAGGAAGGCUGGUUGGUUAAGAGCUGACGAGUUAGACGUUACCCACUGAAGAAGCACCGGCUAACUCCGUGCCAGCCGCCGCCGUAAAAC
rnacentral:rRNA from 1 species